GGGAGGAACACCUUGAGAGGAGUUGAGAUCCUGCUUUCUCUUCAGAAUGCCAUCUCCAGGAUGCCAAUGGGUUGUGUCUACAGUACUAUGUAGGAAAGUGCUGCAAGAGGUCAUGAGACCUUCAUGUGAGAGCUGCUCUCCCUGUACCUUGAGGAAAGAAACCUCUUUCUCUCUGAAGAUGAACAGUCACAGAGAAGUAUCUGAAUAAACACGUCUUACUAACUUUCCCCCAGUUUAUUAUUAUUAGAUCACACCCCCUUUGUCCAGUAUAUCCACUUUUCAUCAAACCUAGUAUAAAAUACAGUUGACCCUUGAACAACAUGGGGGUGCUACGAGCACUAACUCACUACACAAUAGGAAAACAGCAUAUAACCUUUGACUCCCCCCAACUUAACUACUAAUAGCCUACUGUUGACCAGAAGAAGCCUUGUCGAUAAUACAGAUAGUUGAUGAACAUGUAUUUUGUGUGUUAAUGUAUAAUACAAUGUAUUAUUACAAUCCAGUAAGCUAGAAAACACAAAAUAUUGUUAAAAUCAUAAGAAAAUACAUUUAUAGUACUGUAUUUGCUUAUGCUGUGAGUUUACCUCAUGUGUUUACAAGAUGAAUCGUCUGUCUGAAAUGAUGAACAAAGGCAGCUGCAGACCUCUAUCUAGAGCACAUGUCAAGCAAUUCAACUUUUGCUUAAAAUUCUAUGACUUUUCUCCACUUCUUAGGGGCACCUCCAGCAGCACUAGUAGCGCUAGUGGCACUUUGCGUGGUUCCGUUAUUAAAGAUUCAAGGUAUUGCACUAAACAAGAUGAAAAAUACACGAGAACUGCAAAACAUCACUUUGUACUGCAAUAUGCAAUUUACUGGAGAGAUCAACUGCUCACUGGAAGAUGAUUCACCUCACCUAGCAUUUUAAGCAGAUACAUGCAACACUUAUUAAUAAGAGGAGUUGACUGCAAAAAUAUUGCAGUAGUACAAUAUGUACUACACAUAAUUUAUGCAGUUAUAAUUUAAUAUCACAUUUUUAUGUUUGUUUACAUUUCUCUCUACUACAUACAGCUGUGCUACAUAUGGUCUGUAAGUGUGAGCAUAAGUUUUGGUAAGUUUUACUUUUUGCAAUAGAUUUGUGUACAUUUUGUGAGAAUUGAUGAAAUAUACUAGUAUCUACGUAUGAUUUUUUUCAUUUUUGACAUAGCUUUUCUUUUGUUUUGACAUUUCUAGACUAUGCAGUUCAUCUGGGAGUUUUCCAAAUUCUUGCAAAUCUCUAAAAAGUUUUUUAAUACGUUGGUUGAAAAAAUUUCCAUGUCUAAGUGGAUCUGCACAAUUCAAACUUGUUCAAGAGUCAAUUUCAUACCCAAGUUUAACUGUUUAUUUUGGUUUUCAUAUCCUUAUGAGGAUUCCCGUGUUAUGUAAAAUAUAUUACAUGGUUGUAGGUAUGUGCUCUACCCUGAGAAGAACAUAGGCCAUUUGUUUCCACCCACGAGUCUUAGUUUUUAGAUAUGCAUAUGCCAACCUGAGAGGUACUGAACUAAUGUAGCCAUGCUUUGUGUGUUCUAGCCCUGUUUGAAAGUUCUUUUUUGUCUAAGGAAAGGAAAACAAUUCUCAGAGAACUCAUCUAGAAUAACAUCCCUGUACUUUCUUAUGAGAAAGAGAAAGUUGCUUGUUGAAGCCUUUGGAGACAGAAGUUUUAAGGUGCUAAGAAAGAAAAGUAAAUACCAAGGAACACAAGUGCUGGUUCACAUGGUAACAAUAUGUUUAGAUUUGUAAGAGACUGUCAAACUGUCUCCCAAAGAGGCAGUACCAUUUUGCAUUCCCACCAGCAAUGAAUGAAGAGUUCCUGUUUCUCUGAUCCGUGGGGAUGCUCCUUGACUUACGAUAGGGCUAUGUCUGGACAAACCUAUGUUGCCACCUCUCUGCUUCAUAUCUGCAGCUGCAACUCUACCCUUGAACUCAUCUUUAAAACUACCCAGAGACAAAGACUGUCAACAGCUUUAGAGCUUUACAACAGGAUCUUCCAAGUGCCCUGAGAACUCAUGAUGGAGCCAAUAGAAAUAAAUCAUACAAAACAAAGCCAGCCCCUGGUGGGAGGGAUGCUUAUAAAACAACAUAAACAAGAAGAUUCUGAAAAAAAAUUGUAUGGAAGGAAGAAGAGAUGAGAUAAUGGAAAUGAACUCAAAAUAGCCCCAGUUAAAAUACUUACAGUAAAAUAUCAUUAGUACUACUUGAUGUUGGUGAAAGGCUCUAGACCCAAGUCAGAAGGCCUGAGUGUUUGCUGUAAUUUCUUGAACAAAUUAUGUAAUUUUGUUGAGAUUCAGUUUUCUUUUCUAUCAUUGGGUAACAAUAACUUCUCUGGGAUGUCAGAGUUAUGAUGUGAAGUUAAAAUAACUAAUAAAUGGGUAAGCCCUG
rnacentral:lncRNA from 1 species